AGGGUUCGAUUCUGGCUCAGGACGAACGCUGGCGGCGCGCCUAACACAUGCAAGUCGAACGAGAGAUGAGGAGCUUGCUCUUCAGAUCGAGUGGCGAACGGGUGAGUAACGCGUGAGGAACCUGCCUCAAAGAGGGGGACAACAGUUGGAAACGACUGCUAAUACCGCAUAAGCCCACGGCUCGGCAUCGAGCAGAGGGAAAAGGAGUGAUCCGCUUUGAGAUGGCCUCGCGUCCGAUUAGCUGGUUGGUGAGGUAACGGCCCACCAAGGCGACGAUCGGUAGCCGGACUGAGAGGUUGAACGGCCACAUUGGGACUGAGACACGGCCCAG
rnacentral:rRNA from 1 species